CAAGUACCGAUUUUCGUCUGAUCACCGAUGUUAAGCAACGUUGAACCUCGUCAGUACCUAGGUGGGUGACCGCUUGGGAAUACCAGGUGCUGUAAG